rnacentral:sRNA from 1 species
GAGUGAGUCUUUGGUUGUUUGUGAUGUUGCCGAAGAUUUAGUGGAAAAGCUGAGAAAGUUUCGUUUUCGCAAAGAAACGAACAAUGCUGCUAUUAUAAUGAAGAUUGACAAGGAUAAACGCCUGGUGGUACUGGAUGAGGAGCUUGAGGGCAUUUCACCAGAUGAACUUAAAGAUGAACUACCUGAACGACAACCUCGAUAUCCUUUUCUUAGUGCUUUAAAACAUUUAUUUUCUUUAGUGGUCAGACCUGUUUGUGAGCUCAUUUGUUAAACAUCUAAAAAAAAACCUUCAUUGUGUAUAGUUAUAAAUAUCAACAUGAUGAUGGAAGAGUUUCAUAUCCUCUGUGCUUUAUUUUCUCCAGUCCUGUUGGAUGUAAGCCUGAACAACAGAUGAUGUAUGCUGGAAGUAAGAAUAAGCUAGUCCAGACAGCUGAACUAACCAAGGUAUUUGAAAUAAGAAAUACCGAAGACCUAACUGAAGAAUGGUUACGUGAGAAACUUGGAUUUUUCCACUAAUGUGAACUUCUGUGUUUCUAAAGUAUUUAUGUAUUAACCUGACCAUACUGGAAUCAGACAUAAAUACUUAUUUAUGCCUAAAAAUGCACUGUUACUUACAGUUUGUUUCCUGCAGUAAAGAAAAAUUCUUCAUUUGUGCAAAAUUUGAACAAAGAGGAAAUCAUCU